GUUCUGAUAUCUAGGGGAGGUUCAGUCCACCAGCUCGGAGCCAGAACUGAGGAGAGUUUGAGGUCCACUUUGUACCCUGAGAGAAAUGGAGCAGCUCUGGAGGAGAUGGUCUGCGUUAUGCCAGAGGUAUUUCGGACUUUCAGGCUCGGACGUGUUUGGGUUUUUUUUUAAAUGUAAUAUUGAGCGAGUCAAGGUUUUAUUUGCGGAUGGAGGACUGGAGGAUCAAAGCAACGCCGCCAGCCUUUAGCAGUGCAGGAAAACGACAGGAAUAAGACUCACAGAGCUGAUCUCAACCUUCAAGUCCUCAAUCUGAUGUGUGAAAAGUGUCCAGUUAAGAUCACCUGGACAUGUAGCCCUGUCCCCGGGCUUCAGGAGACACUCUCUGACCUGUCUGAUGUUGAACACAUGUAAAUCAGGACAUUUGUCAUGUUUGGACACUUUUAGACAAACUGUUUUUGUCAGAAUUGUGUAUGUUUGUGUCCUGAUGGGUCAAAGCAAUCAAAUCAAAUCACAUUUUAUUUGUCACACACACACACACACACACACACACACACACACACAGAGUACAGACAUGCAGUGAAAUGCUUUUUGCAUCUGUCCGGUAUUCAAACAUAAGGAAUGCAAUUUGGGAUAAAAAAAAUAUAACCAA